UCCCAAUCGUGCAGGCUCGGGCCUUGAGUC
rnacentral:piRNA from 1 species